AUUGAAACAGGCAAAUCAGGCAUGUUUGUUGAGGGGGUAGCUGUGGUAUGGACUGAUCACAACCUGCUGCAGGUGACAGGUAACAAUGAUAAACUGCUCCAUUGGAGCCCUAUCCUCCAACAGUAUAAUUUCACUGCCCAGCACAAAAAGGGCAGCUUGCAUGGGAAUGCAGAUGGCCUGUCUCGGCAACUAGAGGGUUAAUGGUAGACAGAUAAAUCAGCCUGUGGCUGAAUUUUUCUGUCCACCAUCUUAAG